rfam:Larimichthys crocea isolate SSNF unplaced genomic scaffold scaffold213, whole genome shotgun sequence.
AGAGGUCAGCUGCUUUGACGAUGUUGCACUACUGUACCAUCCGCUAAAGCAGUGCAAUAGUAUUGUCAUAGCAUUCGGCCUUCGC